CCUUAUGGUGCAAGCGUUAUUCGGAAUUACUGGGCGUAAAGCGUGUGUAGGCGGUCCUGCAAGUCUGAUGUGAAAGCCCCGGGCUUAACCCGGGAAGUGCAUUGGAAACGGCAGGUCUUGAGUAUUGGAGAGGAUGGGGGAAUUCCCGGUGUAGAGGUGAAAUUCGUAGAGAUCGGGAGGAACAUCAAUGGCGAAGGCAACCAGCUGGGCGGUAACUGACGCUGAGACACGAAAGCGUGGGGAGCGAACAG
rnacentral:rRNA from 1 species